rnacentral:rRNA from 1 species
UCGAGAAUUUUUCUCAAUGGGCGAAAGCCUGAAGGAGCGACGCCGCGUGGGGGAUGGAGGGUUUCGAUCCGUAAACCCCUGUCAUUUGUGAACAAUGUUUAUUCAUGAACAAUGGAUGAAUUGAUAGUAACGAAAGAGGAAGGGACGGCUAACUCUGUGCCAGCAGCCGCGGUAAUACAGAGGUCCCAAGCGUUGUUCGGAUUCACUGGGCGUAAAGGGUGCGUAGGUGGCGGGGUAAGUUUGAUGUGAAAUCUCCGGGCUUAACCCGGAAAUGGCAUUGAAUACUAUUCUGCUCGAGGUUUGGAGGGGGGACUGGAAUUCUCGGUGUAGCAGUGAAAUGCGUAGAUAUCGAGAGGAACACCAGUGGCGAAGGCGAGUCCCUGGACAACACCUGACACUGAGGCACGAAAGCUAGGGGAGCAAACAGG